GACGAACGCUGGCGGCGUGCUUAACACAUGCAAGUCGAACGGAAAGGCCCUUCGGGGUACUCGAGUGGCGAACGGGUGAGUAACACGUGGGUGAUCUGCCCUGCACUUUGGGAUAAGCCUGGGACACUGGGUCUAAUACCGAAUAGGACCACGCGCUUAAUGGUGUGUGGUGGAAAGCUUUUGCGGUGUGGGCUGGGCCCGCGGCCUAUCAGCUGGUUGGUGGGGUAAUGGCCUACCAAGGCGACGACGGGUAGCCGGCCUGAUAGGGUGACCGGCCACACUGGGACUGAGAUACGGCCCAGACUCCUACGGGAGGCAGCAGUGGGGAAGAUUGCACAAUGGGCGCAAGCCUGAUGCAGCGACGCCGCGUGAGGGAUGACGGCCUUCGGGUUGUAAACCUCUUUCAAUAGGGACGAAGCGCAAGUGACGGUACCUAUAGAAGAAGCACCGGCCAACUACGUG
rnacentral:rRNA from 1 species